UUACUGUUGCAAAAAGUACAAACACAAAAAUUGAAACGAUUCAGAUAAGAUUAGCACAGCCCCUACGCAAGGAUUAUACUAUAAAUCGUGAAGUGUAAGAAUUGUUU
rnacentral:snRNA from 1 species